AGGCCUACACACAGCUUCAAAGUGACACUGAGUGGGCUAAAGCCAAUACUGACUGCCAUGUCAUUUCUGUGGAUCUACAGGGGUGAUGUACACCCCUAAUCUGACCCACUCCAAUGUCUACUACCAGCGGCAGCUGUCAAAUUUUAACCUUUGCAUCCAGGAACUUGGAAAAGAAGAUCCUGCAUACAUGUGUGUUUGGCAUGAGGGGAUUGCACACCGAGGGUUCAUUGAGGUGGCAAGCUGCAUAUUGAAGUGGGUGAAGACAAAGUUCACGCCACUCACCAAACCAGAGGUACGCAAGUUGAUCAUCUUCAGUGACAGAUGCUGUGGGCAGAAUAACAACUGGCGGAUGCUCAAUCUGAUGUCGAUGCUCGUCUCUUUGGGUUACUUUACCCAAGUUGAGCAGAAGUUCAUGGUCUGGUCAUUCUUUUCUUCCUUGUGAUCGAUCUUUUGCCACCAUCGAGAAGAGGCGCAAGGUGUCAGUCCUUCAUACACCUGAUGAUGUUUCAAAGAAGAUACUUGAAGCACAACCAGCAAAACCAUUCAAGGUGAUGAGGAUGCAAUGUGAAGACUUCAGGCACCUCCCAGAUUCUGUCCUCAAGCGACCAGCUGGACUACAGAUCACCUCAGUGAGGUGGUUAAAAGUCACAGUUGAUCCUUGGAAUCUGUACGCCAUACAGAGCCACAGUCUAUUUGAGGGAUGGAAAUCGUGGUUGAUCUCCAAACCAAAACAAGGAGCUACACCUCAACCUCCCUAUUUUGCAAGCCACUACCCUAGAGCAUAUGAGAGUCCUCUGCCCAU